CGCGUAGGCGGCUUGGUAGGUCAAAGGUGAAAUCCCUCAGCUCAACUGAGGAACUGCCUUUGAAACCACCUCGCUCGAGGCUGGGAGGGGGUAGCGGAAUUCCCGGUGUAGCGGUGAAAUGCGUAGAUAUCGGGAGAAACACCGGUGGCGAAGGCGGCUACCUGGACCAGUUCUGACGCUGAGGCGCGAAAGUGUGGGGAGCAAACA
rnacentral:rRNA from 1 species